AUUGAACGCUGGCGGCAUGCUUUACACAUGCAAGUCGAACGGCAGCGGGGUAGUGCUUGCACUACUGCCGGCGAGUGGCGAACGGGUGAGUAAUAUAUCGGAACGUACCGAGUAAUGGGGGAUAACCAAUCGAAAGAUUGGCUAAUACCGCAUACGUCCUGAGGGAGAAAGCGGGGGAUCGCAAGACCUCGCGUUAUUCGAGCGGCCGAUAACUGAUUAGCUAGUUGGUGGGGUAAAGGCCUACCAAGGCGACGAUCAGUAGCGGGUCUGAGAGGACGAUCCGCCACACUGGGACUGAGACACGGCCCAGACUCCUACGGGGGGCAGCAGUGGGGAAUUUUGGACAAUGGGGGCAACCCUGAUCCAGCCAUGCCGCGUGUAUGAAGAAGGCCUUCGGGUUGUAAAGUACUUUUGUUAGGGAAGAAAAGGGAAGUGCUAAUACCACUUUUUGCUGACGGUACCUAAAGAAUAAGCACCGGCUAACUACGUG
rnacentral:rRNA from 1 species